rnacentral:rRNA from 1 species
AUGCGGGACACCAACUGGUGGCGCAACGGACAGCGAGAGGCGGGACACCAACUAGGCGCGCCUCUCGCGGCCGACUUCCACGGCGGCGACGUCGUUUACCUUGGCGCCUGCUUCUUUCCGACUCAGCGAUCCCCGCGGGCACCGAUGGACAGCGACGGGCAGCACGUGCGGCCGCGGAGCCGCGCGCUCCUGACCGACGACGAGGAUGACGGGACGUACGCCAACGACGUGUACAGCGGCAACCUCGCCGCCACGGGCGGGUCUCGUGCUGGCCGGAUCUUGGGGGCGGUAGCAGUACUUGGUGCAGCGCCGCCGCGGCGACUACGUCGUCGUCCUCAUCCGCACAGGGAAGCUGGACUGGGAGGUUUGCUGCUUCCGGUCGGCAGACGAUGGCUAUGA